GAAUAUCUUUUAAAAUUUUUUAUGAUAAAUAUAACAUUUAUAAUAGCAAUAUUUUUACUACAAAUAAACAAAGAUAUUUUAAAUUUUCAAUGGCCUUUUGCUAUUCUAUAUAAUAUCACCUAUGUUGAUGAAUAUGAAAUACAUAUAUAUAGAAAAUAUAUGCAUUUGGAACCAAUUGGAUGUCUUUUUAUUGUUGCAUUUGUUUUUAUUUUAUUCAUUCAAUUUUUAGCUAUGUUACAUCAUCGUUUAAAUACAUUUGUUCAUGUACUUGCUAAUAUAAAAUUAAAUUAUUUUAUCCUAUUAAG